ensembl:miRNA
UGAAACCGUUACCAUUACUGAGUUUAGUAAUGGUAAGGGUUCUGUUGC